rnacentral:rRNA from 1 species
GAUGAACGCUGGCGGCGUGCCUAAUACAUGCAAGUCGAGCGAACAGACGAGGAGCUUGCUCCUCUGACGUUAGCGGCGGACGGGUGAGUAACACGUUGAUAACCUACCUAUAAGACUGGGAUAACUUCGGGAAACCGGAGCUAAUACCGUAUAAUAUAUUAAACCGCAUGGUUCAAUAGUGAAAGACGGUUUUGCUGUCACUUAUAGAUGGAUCCGCGCCGCAUUAGCUAGUUGGUAAGGUAACGGCUUACCAAGGCAACGAUGCGUAGCCGACCUGAGAGGGUGAUCGGCCACACUGGAACUGGGAACCGGUCCAGACUCCUACGGGAGGAAGCAGUGGGGAAUCUUCCGCAAUGGGCGAAAGCUUGACGGAGCAACGCCGCGUGAGUGAUGAAGGUCUUCGGAUCGUAAAACUCUGUUAUUAGGGAAGAACAAAUGUGUAAGUAAAUAUGCACGUCUUGACGGUACCUAAUCAGAAAGCCACGGCUAACUACGUG